AACGAUUUGUACUGUGCAGUCAAGAAAAUUUUAAAGUGCUCUUAAUAUUCAAAGUUAAGUGCUCUUGAUCAAUCGUCCCAUGUAGUAUCUUCACCAAAAAUCAAGCAGAAAACAAUAUAAUGCAUUGGUUACAACUACAAAUCCAAACAUUUUUGGCAAAAAUAUCUUGAGUAAUGGUCUACUUUACAAAAUGAUAUUUAUUAAGUUAAAAAAAACUUUCAUAGAUUACUCGACGGCGACCUUGAAUGUAGAGUCAAAAAUAAUUAUACGAGGAUUGUAUGAAAUCUUAUCAAAACCAUUUGAGAAUGCAUAACGAUUAAUUUAAAAUUUUUUUACCUAAGAUUAUAUAUAUUAACAGGAUCAAGGUGGAAAUGUCAUAGAGUUAAAAUUAAAUAUAUAUAGAGAGAGGUGUGCAUACUAGUGUUAGAGGAAGAGAGAACUUCAGUAAACUACUCUCUACUCUAUUCUGAUUGGAUAACCAUGACGUCCAAGUUUCGAAUGGUGGAAAUAGUAAAGGAAUAAGAAGCAAAAAGAGAGGGAUAGGGAGUGGUACACUGAUGCUAUUUCUCUCUCUUACAAUAGUAUAAUUUGACUUCCAACAGUAUAAUUACUUACUAUUUUUUAUGGAGUAGCGGGAAACUUUGCUAGCUCUGUUUAUGGAUUUAUAAUUUGUUGAAACUAGUCAGGAUUCGCUUUAAAGCAGGAAGUUUUUAUCAUUUGUGCUCUAGCCAGAGGUUUCAGUGUUCGAGGCUUAGGAAACUUGGAAAUAUCAAAGUUCACGCCAUCCAAGCUAGAUGAAGACUUCGAUACAGCGGAUUUUUCGCGAAAGUACACCAAGAUCGCAGAUGACGCCAAUGUAACCUGGAGUGGUCGAGAUAUACAAGCUUUAUAUUCUACCAUAGGCAAACAUCUUAUUAGUAUCAAGUCCUGGUCUAACGCGAACAGUUUUUGUUUAAACACUGAGAAAACUUUACCAGCUCUAAAACUCUUAAUACAGCGGAUACAGCGGAUUCUUCGCGAAAGUACACCAAGAUCGCAGAUGACGCCAAUGUAAUCUGGAGUGGUCGAGAUAUACAAGAUUUAUAUUCUACCAUAGGCUAACAUAUUAUUAGUAUCAAGUCCUGGUUUAAAGCGAACGGUUUUUGUUUAAACACUGAGAAAACUUUAUCAGCUCUAAAACUCUUAAUAUGAUCCUCAAAUUCGAUCAAGUUUCUUGGUCUACAUAUUGACGGUCCACUUCAAUGCUCUGUACAUGUAGAAAAUUUUGCAAAAAAAUAUCUUCUGCUUGUUUUAUCAUAGAUCCUUUGUGUUGUGAUUGCAAUAAAAUCUGUAUAUAUUCAGUUUCUCAGAAA